rnacentral:rRNA from 1 species
AGAGUUUGAUCCUGGCUCAGNNNNNNCGNUGGCGGCGUGCUUAACACAUGCAAGUCGAACGAGACGAUUGAAAGCUUGCUUUUGAAAGUCGAGUGGCAAACGGGUGAGUAACGCGUAGACAACCUGCCGUAAAGAUGGGGACAACAGUCCGAAAGGAUUGCUAAUACCGAAUGUUGUGGAACUUCCGCAUGGGAGCUCCACUAAAGAUGGCCUCUACUUGUAAGCUAUCGCUUUACGAUGGGUCUGCGUCUGAUUAGCUAGNUGGUGGGGUAACGGCUUACCAAGGCGACGAUCAGUACCCGGUCUGAGAAGGAUGAACGGGCCCUUUGGGAACUGAGACACGGUCCCAGACUCCUACUGGAGGCAGCAAUUGGGGAAAUCUUUCCGCAAUGGGGCCAAGCCNG